rnacentral:rRNA from 1 species
UACGGGGGGAGCAAGCGUUGUUCGGAUUUACUGGGCGUAAAGGGCGCGUAGGCGGCCAGCACAAGUCAGUUGUGAAAUCUCCGAGCUUAACUCGGAAAGGUCAACUGAUACUGUGCGGCUAGAGUGCGGAAGGGGCAACUGGAAUUCUUGGUGUAGCGGGGAAGUGCGUAGAUAUCAAGAGGAAUCCCGGUGGUGAAGACGCCUCUCUGGACCGCCACUGACGCUGAGACACGAAAGCGUGGGUAGCAAACAGG